AUGGGCUCCAGGCUCCUCUGCUGUGUGACUCUCUGCCUCCUGGGAGCAGGCCUGGUGGAUUCUGAAGUCACCCAGACCCCCAAAUACCUGAUCAAGUCAAGAAAGCAGCAAGCGACUCUGAGAUGUUCCCCUGACUCUGGACACUUCUCCGUGUACUGGUACCAACAAGCCCUGGGCCAGGGCCCCCAGUUCCUCGUUCAGUAUUACAACCAGAAAGUGAGUGGAGAAGCUCACCUCCCGGAUCGAUUCUCAGGGAAACAGUUCAGUGACUCUCGCUCUGAGCUGAACCUGAGCUCCUUGGAGCUGAUGGACUCCGCCAUGUAUCUCUGUGCCAGCAGCCAAGACACAGCCCUGCAUGAUCAGAUGCCUCUGGUACAAAAACAAUCCUACCCCAGCUCAGGAAGUGGUCGCCAGGGUGUCAGUUGCCAGCCAGCGAGACCCAGACCCAGGUAG